rnacentral:rRNA from 1 species
GAUGAACGCUAGCGGCAGGCUUAACACAUGCAAGUCGAGGGGUAUGCCGAUUUAUCGGCAGAGACCGGCGCACGGGUGCGUAACGCGUAUGCAAUCUACCUUUCACAGAGGAUAGCCCAGAGAAAUUUGGAUUAAUACCUCAUAGUAUAGCAGUUUCGCAUGAAACCACUAUUAAAGUUCCAACGGUGAAAGAUGAGCAUGCGUCCCAUUAGCUAGAUGGUAAGGUAACGGCUUACCAUGGCUACGAUGGGUAGGGGGUCCUGAGAGGGAGAUCCCCCACACUGGUACUGAGACACGGACCAGACUCCUAC